UGAAGCGAUAGUAAGCGCCAUGUAGAUGGACUGUGGGGAUAAUAAAAAGGCCGAGCCGGUCCGCAUGCAGAAAGGUUUUCUCUACAGUAUCCCACCUAUGUUUAUGGGCUUUUAUCUUGUCGAGUAGCGAAGCAACUUCUAACCCGAUUCAGCGUGUUGCUUUCAAAACACGUAUUCAAAAGGCAUUUUCUGAGUAUGACUUUUUAUUCUAACUUUCCAACGGUAUCGCCCUCAAAAGCAUAGGUGAAGGAAGGCACCACUUUUUGAAAGCUUAAUAACAGCUUCGUCGAUUCAUCCAAGGAUCAACGUAACAGGAAUUGUUCUGUUUAUAUUUCAACGAAGAUAUAUGUUUAUGGACACCACCCAAGCGGUUGCAGCAUUCAGCGCACUUACAGGUUUAUCGCAACGAAUUUUACGAGUAAGCUUCAGUGAGGGGGUUCCUGAAGCCUGUCACAUGGUGCGUGUAGUUAUAUACAGACACCUCUAUUGACAUUGUUCAAAGAAGCUAAAACAUUGGUGCAACACUGCGUGAGUGUGGGCACAGAAACAAAUAGAAACA